rnacentral:rRNA from 1 species
CUGGCCGUAAACGAUGCUCACUAGGUGUGGGGCACAGAGCGUGUUCUGCGCUGAAGCAAACGCAAUAAGUGAGCCGCCUGGGGAGUACGUCCGCAAGGAUGAAACUCAAAGGAAUUGACGGGGGCCCGCACAAGCGGUGGAGCGUGUGGUUUAAUUCGACGUUAAGCGAAGAACCUUACCAGGUCUUGACAUAUCCGUGGUAGUGAACUGAAAGGGGAACGACGGAGGCGAAUGCCUUCGAGCGGAUACAGGUGG